rnacentral:rRNA from 1 species
UAAAUAACAAUGUGGGGCCCUUUGGGUCUCGCAAUUGGAAUGAGAACAAUUUAAAUCCGUUAACGAGUAACAAUUGGAGGGCAAGUCUGGUGCCAGCAGCCGCGGUAAUUCCAGCUCCAAUAGCGUAUAUUAAAGUUGUUGCAGUUAAAAAGCUCGUAGUUGGACUUUUGAGGCGCGUGGGGUUGGUCCCGUCAAACGGACUGGUCACACGACCUCUUUUCCGGUGGGGCAACCCGCUAGGUUACUGUGAAGAAAUUAGAGUGUUCAAAGCAGGCUAUCGCUUGAAUACAUCAGCAUGGAAUAACAAGUUACGGCUUGUUGGUUGGCAAGUACCUUUUUUAAUAGGAACAGUUGGGGGCAUUGGUAUUUAGCAGUCAGAGGUGAAAUUCUUGGAUUUGCUAAAGACCAACUAGUGCGAAAGCAUCUGCCAAGGAUGUUUUCAUUAAUCAAGAACGAAAGUUAGGGGAUCGAAGACGAUCAGAUACCGUCGUAGUCUUAACUAUAAACGAUGCCGACUCGGGAUCGGUAGAUGUCGGAUUGCGACACUAUCGGGACCGUGUGUGAAAACAAAGUUUUUGGGUUCUGGGGGAGUAUGGUCGCAAGGCUGAAACUUAAAGGAAUUGACGGAAGGGCACCACCAGGAGUGGAGCCUGCGGCUUAAUUUGACUCAACACGGGAAAACUCACCAGGUCCGGACAUGGGAAGGAUUGACAGAUUGAGAGCUCUUUCAUGAUUCUGUGGGUGGUGGUGCAUGGCCGUUCUUAGUUGGUGGAGUGAUUUGUCUGGUUAAUUCCGAUAACGAACGAGACCUUUUCCACUAACUAGUCUGCCGGUUCGAGGGAACUGGCAACUUCUUAGCGGGACUGACUGCGGUUAGCAGUCGGAAGUUGGAGGCAAUAACAGGUCUGUGAUGCCCUUAGAUGUUCUGGGCUGCACGCGCGCUACACUGACAAAGGCAACGAGUAUACCUUCACCGAGAGGUGUGGGAAAUCUUGUGAAACUUUGUCGUGCUGGGGAUAGAUCAUUGCAAUUAUUGGUCUUGAACGAGGAAUUCCUAGUAAGCGCAAGUCAUCAGCUUGCGUUGAUUACGUCCCUGCCCUUUGUACACACCGCCCGUCGCUACUACCGAUUGAAUGGCUUAGUGAGGC